GGCCUAAUAGUGUAGUGGUUAACAUACCUCUUUCGGGUUAUACCCCCCUUCGGGAUUAGAGGUGAUCCCUGGUUCGAAUCCUGGUUAGGCCC